rnacentral:tmRNA from 1 species
AAUCUUUUUUUUGCCGCCAUGACGGCCUAUAUUGAGUCCUGUCGGCGCAAGUCGACUAUGGCGAUAAACAGCCUUCGUAAUAAGCCACUCGGACCCGGGGGCAGUACCCGGCGCCUCCACCAGGGAUCAGCGAAUCAGAUAUCGGCGAGCGAGCGUCUGAAAUCGGAAAGCGGACUGAUCCGUGGCGGGGGCGAAACAGGAUCGACGAGGGUGUAAAGGUCGUGCUUUUGCCCGGCAUGGUUCCGCCGUUAUCGG